rnacentral:rRNA from 1 species
GGGUGAGUAACACGUGGGUAACCUGCCCAUCAGAAGGGGAUAACACUUGGAAACAGGUGCUAAUACCGUAUAACAAUCGAAACCGCAUGGUUUUGAUUUGAAAGGCGCUUUCGGGUGUCGCUGAUGGAUGGACCCGCGGUGCAUUAGCUAGUUGGUGAGGUAACGGCUCACCAAGGCCACGAUGCAUAGCCGACCUGAGAGGGUGAUCGGCCACAUUGGGACUGAGACACGGCCCAAACUCCUACGGGAGGCAGCAGUAGGGAAUCUUCGGCAAUGGACGAAAGUCUGACCGAGCAACGCCGCGUGAGUGAAGAAGGUUUUCGGAUCGUAAAACUCUGUUGUUAGAGAAGAACAAGGAUGAGAGUAACUGUUCAUCCCUUGACGGUAUCUAACCAGAAAGCCACGGCUAACUACGUGCCAGCAGCCGCGGUAAUACGUAGGUGGCAAGCGUUGUCCGGAUUUAUUGGGCGUAAAGCGAGCGCAGGCGGUUUCUUAAGUCUGAUGUGAAAGCCCCCGGCUCAACCGGGGAGGGUCAUUGGAAACUGGGAGACUUGAGUGCAGAAGAGGAGAGUGGAAUUCCAUGUGUAGCGGUGAAAUGCGUAGAUAUAUGGAGGAACACCAGUGGCGAAGGCGGCUCUCUGGUCUGUAACUGACGCUGAGG